rnacentral:misc_RNA from 1 species
UCCGGUUUGUCACCGGCAGUCUCGCAUGAGUCCCCAACUAAAUGCUGGCAACAUGCGACGGGGGUUGCGCUCGUUGCGGGACUUAACCCAACAUCUCACGACACGAGCUGACGACAGCCAUGCACCACCUGUCUCUCUGUCACCGAAGUGAAAACCGACUUUCGCCGGCGGUCAAAGGAUGUCAAGACCAGGAUAAGGUUCUUCGCGUUGCGUCGAAUUGAACCACAUGCUCCACUGCUUGUGCGGGUCCCCGUCAAUUUCUUUGAGUUUUAAUCUUGCGACCGUACUCCCCAGGCGGGGUGCUUAACGCGUUAGCUUCGUUACUGAAAGGGUUAACACUCCCAACAACAAGCACCCAUCGUUUACAGCGUGGACUAC